rnacentral:rRNA from 1 species
UACGGGGGGGGCAAGCGUUGUUCGGAAUUACUGGGCGUAAAGGGCUCGUAGGCGGCCAACUAAGUCAGACGUGAAAUCCCUCGGCUUAACCGGGGAACUGCGUCUGAUACUGGAUGGCUUGAAUCCGGGAGAGGGAUGCGGAAUUCCAGGUGUAGCGGUGAAAUGCGUAGAUAUCUGGAGGAACACCGGUGGCGAAGGCGCAUCCUGGACCGGCAUUGACGCUGAGGAGCGAAAGCCAGGGGAGCAAACGGGG